CUUCAGGUGGAAAUAUUAAUUUUGGAUAUCAGAAAUGUUCUAAUUUUUGCUUAAACGCUACAAUUGCCAAGAAAAAGAGAAUUGUAAAAUAUGCAUGUUGCAAUUCACAUUCUUUCUGUAAUGCACUUUAAAGGCCUGGACCUUGCUUUUCCUGUUGUACUUAGGUAAGCUCUCAUGCCUUCCCAGUACUUAUGUAGCCUUCUAAUACUGGACCAUCCAUGUCCAGCACUGUCAAUAUCCUGACACCUACUUUUAAUUAGCAUCAGAUGUUGAUAUGUUGACAUUUGUUUUAUCAUCUCCAUUUCCAGAAUUCUGAAUUCUUUGUUUUCUCCCUUCAUAUGUUCAGCAUAGGC
rnacentral:lncRNA from 1 species